rnacentral:rRNA from 1 species
UUGACGAACGCUGGCGGCGUGCUUAACACAUGCAAGUCGAACGGAAAGGCCCUGCUUUUGUGGGGUGCUCGAGUGGCGAACGGGUGAGUAACACGUGAGUAACCUGCCCUUGACUUUGGGAUAACUUCAGGAAACUGGGGCUAAUACCGGAUAGGAGCUCCUGCUGCAUGGUGGGGGUUGGAAAGUUUCGGCGGUUGGGGAUGGACUCGCGGCUUAUCAGCUUGUUGGUGGGGUAGUGGCUUACCAAGGCUUUGACGGGUAGCCGGCCUGAGAGGGUGACCGGCCACAUUGGGACUGAGAUACGGCCCAGACUCCUACGGGAGGCAGCAGUGGGGAAUAUUGCGCAAUGGGCGGAAGCCUGAUGCAGCAACGCCGCGUGCGGGAUGACGGCCUUCGGGUUGUAAACCGCUUUCGCCUGUGACGAAGCGUGAGUGACGGUAAUGGGUAAAGAAGCACCGGCUAACUACGUGCCAGCAGCCGCGGUGAUACGUAGGGUGCGAGCGUUGUCCGGAUUUAUUGGGCGUAAAGGGCUCGUAGGUGGUUGAUCGCGUCGGAAGUGUAAUCUUGGGGCUUAACCCUGAGCGUGCUUUCGAUACGGGUUGACUUGAGGAAGGUAGGGGAGAAUGGAAUUCCUGGUGGAGCGGUGGAAUGCGCAGAUAUCAGGAGGAACACCAGUGGCGAAGGCGGUUCUCUGGGCCUUUCCUGACGCUGAGGAGCGAAAGCGUGGGGAGCGAACAGGCUUAGAUACCCUGGUAGUCCACGCUGUAAACGGUGGGUACUAGGUGUGGGGUCCAUUCCACGGGUUCCGUGCCGUAGCUAACGCUUUAAGUACCCCGCCUGGGGAGUACGGCCGCAAGGCUAAAACUCAAAGGAAUUGACGGGGCCCCGCACAAGCGGCGGAGCAUGCGGAUUAAUUCGAUGCAACGCGUAGAACCUUACCUGGGUUUGACAUGGAUCGGGAGUGCUCAGAGAUGGGUGUGCCUCUUUUGGGGUCGGUUCACAGGUGGUGCAUGGCUGUCGUCAGCUCGUGUCGUGAGAUGUUGGGUUAAGUCCCGCAACGAGCGCAACCCUUGUUCACUGUUGCCAGCACGUUAUGGUGGGGACUCAGUGGAGACCGCCGGGGUCAACUCGGAGGAAGGUGGGGAUGACGUCAAGUCAUCAUGCCCCUUAUGUCCAGGGCUUCACGCAUGCUACAAUGGCUGGUACAGAGAGUGGCGAGCCUGUGAGGGUGAGCGAAUCUCGGAAAGCCGGUCUCAGUUCGGAUUGGGGUCUGCAACUCGACCUCAUGAAGUCGGAGUCGCUAGUAAUCGCAGAUCAGCAACGCUGCGGUGAAUACGUUCCCGGGGCUUGUACACACCGCCCGUCAAGUCAUGAAAGUUGGUAACACCCGAAGCCGGUGGCCUAACCGUUGUGGGGGAGCCGUCGAAGGUG